UUUCCUCUUUACCCAUCACUACUUGGCAGGAAAGAAUCCUGAUUUCGACAAAUAUUGGUGUUGACGGCGCUUCGAUAUGGAGAAGACUUUGAAAGAGCAGAACAGCAAUGUUGCCUGUCAAGAGAAAGAAGGUACGGUCCCAAAUAAGCGGAAGAAAUAUGGGCAAUCUUCUGUAUGGAACUAUUUUGACAAAUCGGCUGAUGGCAAGACAGCCAAGUGCAUAAAAUGUGGUAAAACCUACCAAACAAGUGGCAAUACGACAAACUUGUCUUGCCACUUAAAAGCCAUUCAUCCGACUUUAACAAUAAGCGAGUUGCCACAAAGACAGACGCCCUCAAUUCUGUCAUUCAUUGACAAAAAAUGCGAACCGUCGUCGAACCGCAAAUAAAAAUUGGACAUUGCCUUAUGCUACUACGUUACCUCAGACUUGCGCCCUUUUUCAGUGGUGGAAAAUAAAGGCUUCCGCAAUUUUGUAAGCCUCCUUGAUCCAAGGUAUGAAUUGCCUUCACGGACCACCUUAAGAAAUGUUUCGAUGGCAAAUGCAACAAUGAAAAGAAGGCCAAAUUGUGCACCUUUUUAAAAAACGUAAAGCACUGUGCAAUCACUUGAGAUUGCUGGACCUCCAGGGCCAACGAGUGCUACGUUACUGUGACGUGCCAUUUCAUAACAGAGGAUUUCCAAUUGCGCAACGCUGUUUUGUCCACUGAAAAGCUCCUCGACGAAUCGAGCCAUUCUUCUGAAAAUAUUGCAAACUCUAUACGCACAGUACUCGAGGAAUGGAGAGAUUUAGGAAAGGUCACUGCAAUGGUCACAGAUAACGCCAAAAAUAUGAUUACAUACUGCAAAUAAGACAUAUUCCAUGCUUUGCGCAUUCAAACAAUUUGACUGUCCAGGACUUUUUGGCUACAGAAAAAGUUAAGCCCAUUCUUGAAAAGUGUAAGCGCAUUGUUUCGUUUUUUAAAAGUAGCACAAUUGCGUAUGCCAAGUUUAAAGAGGCCCAGGAACGCGAACGUCCUUAUAGUUUAAAGCAAGAAUGUCCUACAAGAUGGAACAGCGCCUAUUAUAUGGUGGCCAGAAUUUUGAUCACAAAGGUUGCCAUCGCAAGUGUGCUACUAAACACGCCCAAAUGGUUAAUGCCGCUAACAUCUGAUGAAAUAUCCAUUCUGGAGGAUUACAAGGCAAUACUUUCACCUUUUGAGCAUGCAACGGUACACACAUCUUCGAGUACUUCUGUGACAGUGUCUUCAGUGAUUCCGGUUGUUUGUGAUAUUUUACACAAUCUGACAGGCAUGAAAACUAAUCUCCAGACUAAGGUGGGUCAAGAUGUCUGUGAUGGCAUACUUCAAGGGGUCAAUAAAAGAUUGGUCCCCUAUGAAAAUCGUACGGUAACACGAAUGACCACAAUUUUAGACCCUCGCUUCAAAAAGGAGGGAUUUUGGAAUCCAUUUAACUUCUCCCAAGGGGUUAAAUCGUUGGAGGAUGAACUGUCGCUCAUAAAUGCUCCAACAAAAUCCUCUGCAUUUUCAAGCCCGCCAACACCAGAAUCCACAGCAGAGUCCAACCUAUUAUUCAGUUUUUUACAAACUAAUCAAACUCAAAAAAUUCAAAGCGGUCGCGAGGAUUCCAUAUUGGCUUUGCGAAAAUACUUGAAUGCGAUUAAUUUGGACCCUGCCCAAAACCCUUUGGAUUAUUGGAAGGUUCAAAAAAUCCAAUUUCUUCUGACAAUAGAUAUCAAAUGACGCCGGAUUCAAAACAUGCGUUUUUAAAUACUUCUGCGUACCGGCCACCUCUACUGAAAGUGAGAGGAUGUUCAGUAAAGCUGGACUAGUUGUUAGCGAGAAGAGAAGCUCGCUAAAACCAAAAAAUGUCAAUAUGGUUUUAUUUCUAAACAAAAAUGAUUGGAUAAUUUAGUUUUAGUUAUGUUACUUUUUUUAUUUUUUUGAGAAGAACUUUAUAUUGUUAUUUAUUUUAUUCUUAAUUGAAUUGUGAUUUAAUUUUAAUUUUUUUGUUGAACGAGUAGUUUAAGUUUCACUUUGAAUUUGCAGGAAACAAAAUCAGAAAACAAUGGAUCUCAAGUAAAGAAUAAUUUUUUUAUAAUGAGCUUACACAUUGGAUUUAUUUGUGGUAUUCGUUUAUAAUAUAAUAUGGGGUAAAAACAUUUUUCAAAAUUACACCCAAAAAAAAGUUCGAUGUAUCGAUACAUCGAUGUAUUUUUCUGAAAAACAUCGAAACAUCGAUGUAGGUAAACAUCGAUGAUUUUCCAGCUCUGGAACAGCGCGUUCAAAAUGGUAGAGCGCAUACUGUUGACCAAGGAGUAUAUUUCUCCCGUUCUUCUUAGCAUGUCCAAGGCGCCGGAGCCCCUGACAGCAGACGAUGUUGCGGUCUUGGAGGAUUUAAAGUACUUACUUGCUCCUUUCGAUGAAGUUACAACUCAAUUAUCUUCGAGUACAAAAGUUACUGUAUCAUGCGUAAUACCCAUAUCGAAUGGACUUGUGCAGAGUUUGUACGAAAAAAGAGAGCAGUUAAGAACAAAAGAAAGCGAAGAACUGUGCGCACUUUUAGUUGAGAAGUGUAAGAAACGACUGUUUCCCUUUGAAGGCCACAAUUUUACACCCUCGGUUUAAGAAAGAGGGUUUCAGGUCCCACUUUAAUGCGGAGCAAGCCGUAUCUCUACUUGAAAAAAAACAUUUCUUCUUCUCCCCAUACCAACAAGGAACACAUUUUAACCACCGAACCACCGGAACCACCAAAGCCGAAAUCUUCGCUACUCAAUUUUGUAAAAAAAAUAUAUAGAAUUGAAACAGAGGUCCAACAAAGUUGAGUCCAUAAUAUAGAUAAGGCAGUAUUUCGAGAAGAUGAACAUUGAUGAAAAUCAGGACCCAUUGGAGUAUUGGAAGCAACAUGAAUUAGAGAUGCCCCAACUGGCUAUAAGCGCUAAGCAGGGCCUCUGCAUGCCGGCAACCUCGACGGAAUCGUAAAGGAUGUUUUCCAAGGCGGGCUAAACAAUCUCUGAUCGACGGGCGUCACUGAAGCCAA